rnacentral:rRNA from 1 species
UGUAAGCGUAUACCAAAGUUGUUGCAGUUAAAACGCUCGUAGUCGGAAUUUGGCAGUUCCGGAUGUGUGCACGUCGUGUGCGCACUUCGCGGGGAUUGCUUUUGUGGUCUUGCGUAGGAUGAGGCACUUUUAUUAGUGAACGUCCUCACGCAACCACUUUUUACUGUGAGAAAAUCAGAGUGCUCAAAGCAGGCAUUUGCCGUGAAUGUAUUAGCAUGGAAUAAUAGAAUAGGACUCGGUUCUAUUUUGUUGGUUUGUUGGGGCUGAGUAAUGAUUAAGAGGGACAGUUGGGGGCAUUUGUAUUUCGGCGCUAGAGGUGAAAUUCUUAGAUUGCCGAAAGACAAGCUGCUGCGAAAGCGUCUGCCAAGGAUGUUUUCAUUGA